rnacentral:lncRNA from 1 species
CUGUUGUAGACAGAAUAAAUACAGGUUUCUUGGAGUAAAGAUAUCUAACUUUUAAAAAUGUAUAUUUCCAGGGAAAAGACAUUAGGAAAGGCUUCCUGGAGAACGACAUCUGAGUCUUGAAGAACAGGCAGGAGUUAUCCAGGUGAAGAUAAGGGAAAAAGCCAGGCAGUUGAAGAAAUAGAACUAAAUACGAGCGGCUUGUAGACAGCAAAGGUCAAAUAAGAGAAUUAAACCAACGGAAGAUGAUGAAGGAAUGUCCUGCCCACCCUCCCAGAGCUAAUAAGUAGUC